GACGAACGCUGGCGGCGUGCUUAACACAUGCAAGUCGAACGGAAAGGCCCUGCUUUUGUGGGGUGCUCGAGUGGCGAACGGGUGAGUAACACGUGAGUAACCUGCCCUUGACUUUGGGAUAACUUCAGGAAACUGGGGCUAAUACCGGAUAGGAGCUCCUGCUGCAUGGUGGGGGUUGGAAAGUUUCGGCGGUUGGGGAUGGACUCGCGGCUUAUCAGCUUGUUGGUGGGGUAGUGGCUUACCAAGGCUUUGACGGGUAGCCGGCCUGAGAGGGUGACCGGCCACAUUGGGACUGAGAUACGGCCCAGACUCCUACGGGAGGCAGCAGUGGGGAAUAUUGCACAAUGGGCGGAAGCCUGAUGCAGCAACGCCGCGUGCGGGAUGACGGCCUUCGGGUUGUAAACCGCUUUCGCCUGUGACGAAGCGUGAGUGACGGUAAUGGGUAAGAAGCACCGGCUAACUACGU
rnacentral:rRNA from 1 species